CCCAACCCCAGACUGCAAGUAGCCACUCAUUCAUUCCACAAAUACUCUCUGAGGGCCUGUUCUAUGCAGGCUAUGUGCCAAGGGUUUACACCCUAGGAGCAGUGCCACCCCAGUAUCUGUCCCCCGUGACCAGUGACUGCCCCUCCUCUAUAAUAUCUAUUGACUGACCUCUCUGACCUCACCUCAUUUCUUUCCUCCAGUGCCCCGGCUCCAGCAGUCCAUGGAUCCUGCCCCCUUUGCAUGUCCCUCAGCCUGCCUGCCCUCCGUGUCCUUCCUGCCCAGCCUACAAUUCAUGGUCAGGCCCCACCCCCACCCCCUCCUGCGGUCCUGACAAAACCCCAACACUGGUCAGUCCCACUGCUCCACCUCCACCGCAUCUCACCUGCACUUGCGCAGCUCAAUGUCACACCACCUUGCCAGCUGCUUCCCUUUCAACUCAUGACACAAAACCCAAGAGGGCCCUUAGUGGAUGUCAGGAUCAGUCACUGUCCCCAUGACCCUUGCACCCCUCUUUUCUCCUCUCUAUAAAAUAAGGGUGAUAAUAUUUCUGUCUCCCGGGGCUGUUGGCAGCAUCAGUAGUAGGUCCUUGCUCGGGGGCAGCUACUGGGGUUAGUUCCUCUGGUGCUCAGUCCAAGAGUUCCCUGGUGUCUUGGUGUCCGCGGAGUCCCACCCUGCGGUCAUUUAUUUUGUUCCGCUGGUUGGGCAGGCCUGGGCUCUCUGCCAGAUCUGAUCAUCCUCCCAGAGACAGGAGGGAACGGAAUGUGGCACCAGGCAGUAAGACGCAUGGCUGAGCUCAGCAGGAGAGGGAAGCUUCCAACUUCCUGCAGCGAAUGUCCUAGGUGAUAGGUCAAGUCUGACCCCGCCAGUGAGGCCAACAUGGAAACUUACUAGGGCCUCGAAAAGGUGUGUGUGGGAGUUCAGAGAGGAGUGGAGACAGCCGGCCUCCCAAUCUGGACCCACAGGGCAGGGCAGGGAGAGGAGAUGGCCCCGCCUCCAGGAAUCCAGGCUGCACCUCCCUCCAGGGAACUCAGAUCAAAGCCAGGAGGAAGGAGGAGUGUGAACUUUGCACCCAGUGACUCACUGCAUCCCCCUAGGGCAAGUGCUCUCACCCGUGCAGAAUCCUGCCCUCCUUGCCACUGACGGGACCAUCCGCACUGGGUCAGCCUAUGAGCAACACUGACCUGAUUCACCUGCACGCCUUCAUUCCCCCACCUUCAUCCUCCUCCUCGCAGAGGUGAUCAGAUGUUUGCAGGUGCCUGCCUGUGUUUACAAAAUCCAUCCCAGGAAACCACAUGACAUUUGGUCAUCUGCCAUUGCAUUCCUUUACGUGUAUGAUCAAGUGGUUCCCUGAGGGCUUUGAUGAUCAGGGCAGAGGCAGAAGGCACCACCUCAAUCUGGGCCUGUCUGUUCUGAAUGGUCAGUUUCACUGUAAUCCUCAGGCCCUUCCGGUAACCCGUUGCCUUGGCAAUGUUAUCACCAACCUUUUUUGGAGACAGACCCAGGGGGCCGAUCUUGGGGGCCAGCGCAGAAGCAGCGACUUCACCUCCAGUGCACCUCAGGCGUGUUCCUGGUGGUCUGAUUGACAGGCAUCAACGUGACCAUGGAGGGAGUGACGGCUAGAGAAUUUCAGGGUUCACAAGAUGAAGCCAGUGACUCAUGAACUAAGCUGAAAUCUCUCAGCCUAAUACUUCCCUUUCUCUCACAGCAACUCUCCAUGAUAGAUUAGAACUGUUCCAACUUGGCUGGGCAUGGUGACUCACGCCUGUAAUCCCAGCUAUUUGGGAGGCCAAGGUGGGAGGAUUGCUUGAGCCCAGGAGUUUGAGACCAGCCUGAGCAACAUAGUGGGACUCCAUCUCUAUUUAUUUAUUUAUUUAUUUUGAGAUGGAGUUUUGCUCUUGUUGCCCAGGCUAGAGUGCAAUGGCGCGAUCUCAGCUCACUGCAACCUCCACCUCCCAAGUACAAGGGAUUCUCCUGUCCCAGCCUAUCAAGUAGCUCAUAUUACAGGCAUGUGCCACCAGGCCCGGCUAACUUUUUUGUAUUUAGUAGAGAUGGGGUUUCAUCAUGUUAGUCAGGCUGGUCACGAACUCCUGACCUCAGGCUAUCUACCCGCCUUGGCCUCCCAAAGUGCUGGGAUUACAGGCAUGUGCCACCGUGCCUGGCCUCUUUUUUUUUUUUUUUUGAGACGGAGUCUCGCUCUGUCACCAGGCUGGAAUGCUAUGGCGCAAUCUCGGCUCACUGCAACCUCCGCCUCUCAGGUUUAAGCAAUUCUCUUGCCUCAGCCUCCUGAGUACCUGGGAUUACAGGUGCGCACCAACACACCCAGCUAAUUUUUUUGUAUUUUUAAUAGAGUCGGGGUUUCACCAUGUUGGCCAGGAUGGUCUUGAUCUCUUGACCUCGUGAUCUGCCUGCCUUGGCCUCCCAAAGUGUUAAAAUUACAGGCAUGAGCCACCAC
rnacentral:lncRNA from 1 species